rnacentral:tRNA from 1 species
ACUGGCUUAGGUUAAAGCGUCUGCCUCCAAUACGGGAGACCCAGGUUCGAUCCCUGGGU